rnacentral:misc_RNA from 1 species
AAAUGAAAAGACAGCCGAUGUAGCCUAGUAAUAAUAAAAGUAUAAGAAAUAAUAUAUUUAACACUCCGUUGAAAUUAUAUGAUACCAUUUCUCGGGGCCUUGCACCUGAUCCAAGUAAGCAUCAGAUGUGACAUACCUCAAUGAAAUAUACUUGUAUCUUGAUUCUAAGAUAUGAUUUGAUAUCGAACAUGCUAAAGCGAAAUCGUUAUUUUAAGUUGAAUUCGCAUGACCGCAUUUAAAAAAUCAUAGAGCGUAAUGAAAGAAGGCAACACAAGCAUCUUAUUUAUAUAUUACAUUCUAUUAUUCUAAGCCAAUUGAAUGUUGUGCAAAUCCAACCAUCUAACAAGGCAUCUUUUGAUAUUCUAAGAAACACGAUGAGGCAAUCAUGGAUCUCCUCUGAAUGAAACAAAAGAAAAUUAAAAGCACAACAAAAACUGAAAAGCAUGGGGAUAUAUCAAGAGAAAAAAGAUAUGCAAAUAUUACCUUUAAUAAUGUAAUCACCGAUUGAUCAUCAAAUAUAUCAACACUACAAUCAUCUAAACAGUUAAACCCGCAAAUGGGAGUAAACAAGUAAAACAUUGCAUAAAGAUUCUCAAGUA